rnacentral:lncRNA from 7 species
GAUAAUGAGAAGAAUAGCAACUCUGAAUUCAACAGAGUCAGAUCUACUAGGUGUCUGAAGUGCUAUGUAAAUGUAGUUGAGGCAGUCGGCAGUCUUCUAUCUAGACUGUAUCGUCCUUGGGUAUUAUCUAACAUAGUAAUUAUGUAUCUGCAUAUUGCUAAUAAUCUCUGUAGGCUUUCAGGGAAUAUUUUAAGCACUCAGAAGGCAAAGAGUCAAGGAUUAUGUACCUGUCUCUACUAAUGGAGGCUCAAACGUUCCUUCUGGAAGCUAUAGUAGAUCGGCAGAUCAACAGAUUGAUGGGUUAACAUGUUUUCCCACAUAAGCUUCCUGCUCUCUUUGAAACUUCAACCAUUUUAUGGAGAAUCCAUCCAUCGAGGUAUUUAUAUUAUAUGUCCUAUUUAUUUUAUGAGGCCUGUACUCCCUGAUAACCUUGUUUUUGGGUGAUCUAUCAAGAUAUGCUUUUUUCAUAUGCAGAAAAAGGCGCUCUAAAAAUGUUAUCAUACAUUUUUUCAAGUGUGAGACAAGAUAGAAUUAGUUCCGUCUUGAUCAUGUGUAAAUCUUCACUUGAAUGUAUAUACAGGCCAGACUAAUUUAUAACUCAUGUAGGUAGGGAUAUUGCAGAUAUUUAAGCACAAAUAUUGUUUCUCUUUCCAAUAACGCAGCCAGCAUCCCUGUUACUUAUGAUAGUUAGAAUUACAAAGUUAAAUGUUUCUAGGCUGAACUGUAUUACAAUUUCUGUGUAAUCAUAAAGAGUUUUCUACUACUAUCGAUCCAUCUUUAUCUUCCUUCACUGCUAUGACAAGUACUAUUUUAACCAGGGCUUAAUGUUUUACUACACUUACUUGAUUUAUUUACAACUUUAUCUGUAGAAACCUCUGCUUAAAUCUAGACCAACUACUACAUUUGCAUGAUACUUCAUAUGGGAGUAAGGUAUGAUGUCCAUACAGAACUGAUAGACAAAAUAGCAACAUAAACAUCUCAAUGGACUGUUUUCAGUAUAUCAGUGUGCUUUUUUUUUUUUUUUUUUUCCUUUGGGAGAAAGGUGGAAUUGGAAAAAAAUCUGCUAGUGUGGUGAGUCAAACUACCAUGUUUGGUAGUUCGGAAAUGUUGAUUUCUACCUGAGGAUCUCACUUGUGACUGUCUCAAUUGCUUUAAAGAUCAGAUUUCUUAAAAUAUUUUUGAUGACAGAAAUUACUGUGCAUUUGGAGAAUUGAUGUAUUCUAUGUGAUGAUUGAUCAUACGUACUCUAUUGUAAAAGUUUAACAUGGUUGCACUGAGUAUUUAAAUGGAUGGUAUACUUUAUGUUGAUGAUAUUAAUAAUGCAAAGCGAAAUAUUUAUUACACAGGCAAAGAUGUUUGUUGCAUUAAAAUACAUCUUAUUACCAUCACAUAAGCCAUCACAAUCUUGGAAUAUAUUAUUUCAGUUUACUAGAUAGCAUAAUGUUACCUGAGGAAUGGCAUGAAGCUGUGACAGGGCAGGGUCAGGUUGGAUAUCAAGAAUAGGCUCUUCACUAGAGGGUGGUCAGGCACUGGAACAACACUGGAACAGGCUCUGCAAGGAAGAGGUCACUGGACCAAGCUACUGGAGUUCAAGGAUUGUCUGAACAAUACUCUUCUAUGGUCUUAUUUUGGGGUUGUUGUAUGUGGAGCCAGGAGCUUGACUGAUCCUUAUGGGUUCUUUCCAACUCGGGAUAUAAUAUGAUUCUGUGAUAUAUUUAAUAUAACACAAAAAAGUAUAUAUCAAGUUAGAGGAAAAUGUCAAAAUGGCUAAGACAUACAUGACCAUUCACAGAAUGAACAAGUAUGAUAAAUGUUUAGAUUAUUUUAUACUUAGUGAAUGUUAUUGUGUUAUCAGCUAAACUGAUGCACCUCCUUUGACUAUUUCUAGAGCAAGAUUUUAUCAAAUGUGUAUUUAAGAAUACUUUUAUAAUCAUGAUCAUAAUGUGAUGUAGCAUAUCAACACCAUCACCGCAGUGUGUUACUAAGCCAUUAUGAAGUAAAAGCCACUCUGAAGGAAGGAUUCUUAGCAUCUACUUUAUCACUCCUUAGUCGUAAAAACGUAUACCUGGUAAGCUUCUAAAACUGCCUUGCUUAAAGUUUGAUUCUG